CAUGCUAGGGACCCUGGGUGAAAGCCUGGGGUGCCCCGCGAGGGGAGCCCUAGCACAGGUGUUGCAUGGCCGUCGUCAGCUCGUGUCGUGAGAUGUUGGGUUAAGUCCCGCAACGAGCGCAACCCUUGCCGUUAGUUGCCAGCGGGUGAAGCCGGGCACUCUAACGGGACUGCCUGCGAAAGCAGGAGGAAGGCGGGGACGACGUCUGGUCAUCAUGGCCCUUACGGCCUGGGCGACACACGUGCUACAAUGCCCUCUACAGAGCGAGGCGACCUGGCGACGGGGAGCGAAUCGCAAAAAGGUGGGCGUAGUUCGGAUUGGGGUCUGCAACCCGACCCCAUGAAGCCGGAAUCGCUAGUAAUCGCGGAUCAGCCAUGCCGCGGUGAAUACGUUCCCGGGCCUUGUACACACCGCCCGUCACGCCAUGGGAGCGGGUUCUACCCGAAGUCGCCGGGAGCCUUAGGGCAGGCGCCGAGGGUAGGGCCCGUGACUGGGGCGAAGUCGUAACAAGGUAA
rnacentral:rRNA from 1 species